CCUACGGGCGGCAGCAGUGAGGAAUAUUGGUCAAUGGCCGCAAGGCUGAACCAGCCAAGUAGCGUGAGGGAAGACUGCCCUACGGGUUGUAAACCUCUUUUAUGCGGGGAUAAAGGUGGCCACGUGUGGCUUUUUGCAGGUACCUCAUGAAUAAGGAUCGGCUAAUUCCGUGCCAGCAGCCGCGGUAAUACGGAAGGUCCGGGCGUUAUCCGGAUUUAUUGGGUUUAAAGGGAGCGUAGAGCGGUUGUUAAGUGUGCCGUGAAAUUUUGUGGCUCAACCGUAAGAGUGCAGCUGGAACUGGCGGCCUUGAGUACGCGUAAGGCAGGCGGAAUUCGUGGUGUAGCGGUGAAAUGCUUAGAUAUCACGAAGAACCCCGAUUGCGAAGGCAGCCUACUACAGCGUUACUGACGCUGAUGCUCGAAAGUGCGGGUAUCAAACAGGAUUAGAUACCCCUGUAGUC
rnacentral:rRNA from 1 species